rnacentral:pre_miRNA from 1 species
CUCCAUGUCCUGGGCCUUGACCUCGGCGAUGAUGCUCCCGCUCCAGGGAGCGGUUGUUGUCCAAGGACAGCACCAUGGAUGUGUGGG